rnacentral:rRNA from 1 species
AGUGAACGCUGGCGGUAGGCCUAACACAUGCAAGUCGAACGGCAGCACAGUAAGAGCUUGCUCUUACGGGUGGCGAGUGGCGGACGGGUGAGGAAUACAUCGGAAUCUACUUUUUCGUGGGGGAUAACGUAGGGAAACUUACGCUAAUACCGCAUACGACCUACGGGUGAAAGCAGGGGAUCUUCGGACCUUGCGCGAUUGAAUGAGCCGAUGUCGGAUUAGCUAGUUGGCGGGGUAAAGGCCCACCAAGGCGACGAUCCGUAGCUGGUCUGAGAGGAUGAUCAGCCACACUGGAGCUGAGACACGGUCAAGACUCCUGCGGGAGGCAGCAGUGGGGAAUAUUGGGCAAUGGGCGCAAGCCUGAUACAGCCAUACCGCGUGGGUGAAGAAGGCCUUCGGGUUGUAAAGCCCUUUUGUUGGGAAAGAAAAGCAGCAGGUUAAUACCCAGCUGUUCUGACGGUACCCAAAGAAUAAGCACCGGCUAACUUCGUG